AGUAAAGGCACCGUUGCAAUCUGUUGCAGUUUCCUCCACGGUUCACUAGUCACCCAACCAUCACCAUUGAAGGCACCACCAAAGACACUUGAAGCUAGAGGAGAGAGAGAAUAACAUUCCUUGUUGCUCCCGGUUGUACCGUUGCAUAUAUAUCAUCAGGCCAAGAAUAACAUUCCCUCCAUACUUUUUGUGAGCAGGCACAACGGAAAAAAUAGGAUCUACAGUUUCAACAUCUUCAUUGCAAAAAGGGUAAGUAAGUGGGUUUAUGCUAACUCCUCUUUCUCCAAAUUAUAUUUGUAUGGUAGUCUAUUUAGCACUAAUCUCCAGACUAAGCAUUGUACUUUUGUUGGAACUGUACGUAGCUUUCAAAUCAUUGUGAACAUCUCUUGUGUAUGGUUGUCUUCUAUAGCAUCAAAGAUAGCCCAAAAAGCUGAAUUAGACGAAUAUAUACCAUUGGGAGGAUUAGGAUACUAUUGCCACAAAUCAUGUGAUUGAUUGAGGUUAACGUACACUAGCCAUUUUUGCAUGCAAAGACUCAAUAUGCUCCUCUUCCUAUGCAAAUUGUGCCCUUCUCCACUUCAAGUUCCAGACCCACACUCCACUUUCCCACGUUCCCAUGCUACUAAGUGUCACGUGUGGUUGUGUUGAUAAGGAAAAAAGUGUCGGCUGUAGGAUAGCCAGAGGAGCAUCCUCCAACUAUACAUCCUGCCAAAUGCGUAUCUUAUCACCACUACCAAUAUUCGACUUGCAAUUAGACCCCAACCAAUUAGAUGCUUCAUUCCCAUCACAAAUUAAAACAAAGGUCAAGCCACCAAAUAGAGGAGGAAUUUUUCACAUUUUUAUCCACAAGUCCCUCCAACCUCCAUACUUAGAAUAUAGAAUUUUGAUCCAUAGAGCAUCUUGUUGAUAUAAGACAUUUUAUCUCUACUGUCCUAGUAGAGUCUCGUUAAAGUAUGUAAUAUUUGCUA